GGUGCCCCAGGAAAACUUGGGGGAGAAUGGGCAUCCCACCCCAGCACUUUCUAGGAAGGAGGGCAGCAUUUUGAAGGGCUGGAAGUAGAGGAAGGAGGUUGCGGGUAGAAGACUCCAUACUUUCUGUGAUGCCUAUUCCUUAGGAGAGCCUUUAUAUAACCAAAGAUAUUUUUGGACCAUGAAUUCGGAAAUUCUCGGAGCCACCCAUCAGUGCCUGAGCUUCAGUGAGUCCAUAUCCCAUGUCACCCACGGCAAAGGAGAAUCUAAGACUUCUGAAGAGUUUCUUGCUUCUUUCCUGUGGGGCAGUGACUCCACUUCCCAGCAGUAAUGGAAUAUCCUGAAUUAGCUACAUUAAUGUUAGAACCAUUUGGACCUCACCCAGGACUUCAACUACAUUAUGAGUAACUCCUGGACGAUUGGCACAGAAGGCACAAGGCAAAUACCUAUCUCUGUACACCCUGUGCUACUGUGUCAUGUGCUGCUCCAGGCAACUCCAAUGGAUUGGCCACCCUGGCCAAUGUGUUCUAGUAUGUUAGGUUUAUGUUCCCCUGCUUUCUACAAUCCUGUUCAAAGAGUUGCUGACUUAACCACAGAGAGGAUUCCAGAACAUGAGACACAGAAUAAACUUGAGCAAUCAUAGUCCAUCCACUUCAUUUUCUCAUCAAAAACCAAAGGUCCAGUGAAGCUCUGGAACUCAACGCUGUAAAGGAGCGAAGGAGCUUCUAUACAGAGCCUGGAUGCCUGUCUCCUUAUCCUAC
rnacentral:antisense_RNA from 1 species